GACGAACGCUGGCGGCGUGCUUAACACAUGCAAGUCGAACGGAAAGGCCCUGCUUUUGUGGGGUGCUCGAGUGCCGAACGCGUGAGUAACACGUGAGUAACCUCCCCUUGACUUUGGGAUAACUUCAGGAAACUCGGGCUAAUACCGGAUAUAAGCUCUUGCUGCAUGUUGUGGGUUGGAGAGUUUCGGCGGUUGGGGAUGGACUCGCGGCUUAUCAGCUUGUUGGUGAGGUAGUGGCUUACCAAGGGUUUGACGGGUAGCCGGCCUGGGAGGUUGACCGGCGACAUGAGUACUGAGGUACGGAGCAGUAUCGAACCGGAGGCAACAGGCGAGAAUAUUACACAAUGGGCGGAAGCGAGAGACAACAACGCCGCGAUCGGGAUGACGGCCUUCGAGGUGUAAACAGAUUUCGCCUGUAACGAAGAGGGAGUGACGGUAAUGGGUAAAGAAGCACCGGCUAACUACGUG
rnacentral:rRNA from 1 species